rnacentral:rRNA from 1 species
UACGAAGGGGGCUAGCGUUGCUCGGAAUCACUGGGCGUAAAGCGCACGUAGGCGGACUCUUAAGUCGGUGGUGAAAUCCUGGAGCUCAACUCCAGAACUGCCUUCGAUACUGGGAGUCUCGAGUCCGGGAGAGGUGAGUGGAACUGCGAGUGUAGAGGUGAAAUUCGUAGAUAUUCGCAAGAACACCAGUGGCGAAGGCGGCUCACUGGCCCGGUACUGACGCUGAGGUGCGAAAGCGUGGGGGGCAAACAGG